rnacentral:rRNA from 1 species
UACAGAGGGUGCGAGCGUUAAUCGGAAUUACUGGGCGUAAAGCGCGCGUAGGCGGCUUUGUAAGUCGGUUGUGAAAUCCCCGGGCUUAACCUGGGAACUGCAUCCGAGACUGCAUAGCUAGAGUAUGGGAGAGGGAAGUGGAAUUUCAGGUGUAGCGGUGAAAUGCGUAGAUAUCGGGAGGAACACCUGUGGCGAAGGCGGCCACCUGGUUGGAUACUGACGCUGAUACGCGAAAGCCAGGGGAGCAAACGGG